UUACAAAAAUCGUUGGAUUCUUUUUGCCUUUUUCUCCCCCAAAAAAAAAGUUUGGUUCGUUCUUUGCAAUGGGUAUGAUUUGCUUCAAACUAAAAAAAUUCAAUUACUCAACAACUUGCAUAAGCUCAAAAUUGGGCAUGUGGGAGGAUAGAACUCAUGAGCUUGUUCACUUUGUGAACCUUCUCGUUGCAAGCCCAGCAUACGGUGGGAGGACAGAAAUCAUAAACUCAAAACUGGACUCUCGUAGCGAUUUGACGAGGGGGAAGGCUAAUUGGAUGCUCAUGGUGGUGAUUUG
rnacentral:lncRNA from 1 species